rnacentral:ncRNA from 11 species
UAAAGUCGUAACAAGGUUUCCGUAGGUGAACCUGCGGAAGGAUCAUUA